GACGAACGCUGGCGGCGUGCUUAACACAUGCAAGUCGAACGGGCCUGUCUUCUUUUUUGGGGGUGGGUUGAGUGGCGAACGGGUGAGUAUCACGUGAGUAACCUGCCCUUCGGUCCUGGAUAACCGCUUGAAAGGGCGGCUAAUACGGGGUGGUCCGGUUGGUCCGCAUGGGCUGGUCGGGAUAGAUUCACUGUUUUUGGUGUUUCGGCGGGGGAUGGGCUCGCGGCCUAUCAGCUUGUUGGUGGGGUGAUGGCCUACCAAGGCGGUGACGGGUAGCCGGCCGGAGAGGGUGGGCGGCCACACUGGGACUGAGAUACGGCCCAGACUCCGGCGGGAGGCAGCAGUGGGGGGUAUUGCACAAUGGGCGGAAGCCUGAUGCAGCGACGUCGCGUGAGGGAGGGAGGCCUUCGGGUUGUGAACCUCUGUUUCCGGUGGUGAAGGCCCUGUCCGUGUGGUGGGGUUGACGGUAGCCGGGGAUGAAGCGCCGGCUAACUACGUG
rnacentral:rRNA from 1 species